rnacentral:lncRNA from 7 species
GAUUAAUUUGCCUAGGAUUUGGGGAAACCUGUGUCAUAUCUAUGAAGACUUCAGAAAAGAAAUACAUGAGCAAAGUUACUACAAUUCAUGUGGGUAGGAGAGAGAAGUGAUUUGCAGCGGAUUACACUGAAAACACUCCAGGUCUCAUUGAGCUCUGAGGUCACAGUUAUUUACCUGAUAAGCAGAUUUUAGCCCAGCACGGAAGUGAGGAAGAAUACAAACAAACAAAGCCUAGAGAAAGUUAAGAUCUAUGUAACUAAUGAACUCAUCACAGGGUAAUAACCAUAUACAGGAUUCCAAUAUUAUGCAAAUACAUCUGAACAAUCGCAGAUCAGAUUUCAGAUGGAAGAUGCUAAACUGAAGAAUUUAGCAACAAAACAGAGUCAUUACUUCUAUUGCAGAGGAAACCAAGAACUUAGCUCACAGGUCUGCAUCAAUAUAAUUCAUGUCAAUCAUUUUGCUUGAGGAAAGCAGACUUCAGUGUGAAUCAUUUUUACUGAUGAUUACACAAGCAUUCCUCCCAAGAGUAGGAGAGUCUCCCCCACAACUUCACUCGUUGCACCAUAGUGCACUAUACGCAAAUGGUCCUCUAGUAUUGCAUCAGUAUUUUCCUGCACCAAUUUAUAUUUAUUGAAAACUGUUUACCUCUAAGUCAUCUUGCUUAGUUCUACAGAUCAAAUCAGACAAGAUCUGACCAGAUGACCUUUCCUUUUCAGUAGAAACAUUUGAUUCUUCAUGCAAAACUACUGUUUAUAUUCUAGCAGUCUCCCCAGGAUUGGUCAACUGGCAAGGCAGCAUCCAUGUGACUCAGAAAGAGCUGACAAUGUUAGUGGAAAUUAUAGCAUGGAGAUUUUGAUUCUGUACAAGAGAGUAGCUUUGGUUCUUUUCUUCUUUUUUAUACAUGCUUACUGAACAAAAGUAAGCCCCAAAUAUUUAAGCCUCAAAUGAGGAGAACCCAUGCUGCCAACUUAGACUUUUCUGAUGAACAUAUUACUAUUUCUGUUCACAAAAUCUUGCAGAAAUAUUGGAUCAUAAUUUGUUUUAAAUAUAACUUGAAAAAUAAAAUAGCAUUUUCUGAGAGUAUAGACAGAAAAAGCAAAAAUCUUUCACCUUCUGCAAACACUUCCAUCGCUGCUGGUCUUAGCAGAUCUUUUAUUCACCCAGUGAAUGCCAGAGCAUGACCCAGAUUUAUUACUUAUCAUUAAAUUUGCAGAUGUUUCAGACAUUGCACAUGCAAAAGUGGUUAUUAAAAAUAUUUGAGUUUGAGACCAACUGUACUGUAAAAGAGCAAAACCUCUGAGUGUGAGUCCAAAGAAGAUUUAGGGCAUUAGGUUUUGGUGGAUUUUUGGAAAAGAACCUGCAAGAAUGAAAAGAAUGAAUGAAAAGAACCACAAGAAAAGAAUUUGCAAGAAUGCAAGAAUGGAAAAGAAUCUACAAGACUGCUGCAAUAAGUAGAACAAAAUUGCAAAUAAAUAAAUAAAUAGAACUACUUUAUCCUAUGUAGUCAAAAAAUAGAGAAGGGUGAACAACAUAAAAAUUGCUGUGACCUUCUCAAAGAAAAGAAUAUAAGGAAGGGCUGGGUGGAACAAAGGACAUUCCCAAAAAGCAGGAAAUGGACUAAGAAAUAUAGGAUAUAACACACAAAAAAAAACCAAGAUUACUGUUUCCAUAAGAAUAAUCAAAAAGAGGAAUAAACCCAUUCAAUCCCCUGCUAAUUCUCACAGAUCUGUGCCCCCUAUGGGAGUAGAGAUACAAAGCUUGCUAACCUCAGAAAUAGAAAGACACAUCAAAAGUAUAAAAGGUCACACCAAGUUUCAGGAGAAUCUUAAUCUUCAUGUUAGCUAAAGAAAAGUUCAGCCUAGUUCUUUCAUGGCAGUGACUUAGAAAGAAGCUUUUAAAACUAGUUCCCAAACUGUAAAAAUGAGAUUCAAAUGCAGGAUGUUAUCCUUAAAAUCAGAUUGGAACAGUAUUACUUCCUUAAAAGAAACAAAUUAAAAACUGAGAAGAGUGCAGAUGCAGACUAG